rnacentral:rRNA from 1 species
AUGGCGUCGUCGUGGGCGCUUCUGGCAGCGGUGCUGCUGGCGACCCACGGCGUGGCGGCGGUGUCUGGCGCCCGGGCGGCGGCGGACGCUACACGGCUGCCGUCGUCGGGGCCGGGGUUCCGGGAGGCGCCCGCGUUCCGGAACGGCGACGGGUGCCCGCCGCGGGGGGCGGGGGAGCGCGUGCACAUCGCCAUGACGCUGGACGCCAACUACCUGCGCGGCACCGUCGCGGCCGUCUUCUCCAUCCUGCAGCACACGGCGUGCCCGGAGGACGUGUCCUUCCACUUCCUGGCGGCGCGGCGGCGGGACGCCGACGCCGUGCGCGCCACGUUCCCGUACCUGGACCCCAGCGUGUACCUCUUCGACCCGGCCCGCGUCAGCGGCCGCAUCUCCCGCUCCGUGCGCCACGCGCUGGACCAGCCGCUCAACUACGCGCGCAUCUACCUCGCCGACACGCUGCCCCGCGCCGUGCGCCGCGUCAUCUACCUCGACUCCGACGUGGUGGUCGUGGACGACGUGCGCAAGCUCUGGUCCGUGGACCUCGACGCCGGCGGCGGCCACGUGGUGGCGGCGCCCGAGUACUGCCACACCAACUUCACCAAGUACUUCACCGACGCCUUCUGGUCGGACCCGCGGCUCAGCGCCACGUUCCGGCAGGGCCCGCAUCGGCGCCGGCGGCCGUGCUACUUCAACACGGGCGUGAUGGUGAUCGACGUGGCGCGGUGGCGCGCGGGGGGAUACUCGCGGCGGGUGGAGGAGUGGAUGGCGAUCCAGAAGGAGGAGAAGCGGAUCUACAGCCUGGGGUCGCUGCCGCCGUUCCUGCUGGUGCUCGCCGGGGAGAUCAUGCCGGUGGACCACCGGUGGAACCAGCACGGGCUCGGCGGGGACAACGCGGAGGGGAGGUGCCGGAGCCUCCACCCGGGCCCCAUCAGCCUGCUGCACUGGAGCGGGAAGGGGAAGCCGUGGCUGCGGCUCGACACCCGGAAGCCGUGCACCGUCGACUACCUCUGGGAGCCCUACGACCUCUACAAGGCCGCCGCGGCCACCGCGAUCGAGGAGUGA